rnacentral:tRNA from 1 species
GCCCUGGUAGCAUAACGGUUAAGUGUUUGGCUGCUAACCUAAAGGUUGGUGGUUCAAAUCCUACCAGUGGCU